CUUUGGUGACAUUGAGAUCACUAGGGAUCACUUCAUCUCGCUCAGUGUUGGCCAAGUUGAAAAUAUCUUCUUAGAUGUAUGGGCAUUGAGACUCUCAAUGCUUGACAAAGAGCGUGCAACCGGGCAACCGAAGAGGGUGUUUUUCAGCACAAUUGCCUACUUACAACUAGAUCCCACCCACGAAUGGAUGAAACGUCUCCCGAUGGAAAAAAGAAACAAAACUUCUAUGAACGGAUGACAUAUGACAUUGAGCGCCUACAAAAUUUGGACAUAAAUGAUGCGGACCUGAUAUUCUUUCCAGUGCUUCGUCACGGGCACUAUUUUCUCAUUUGCAUCAAUGUUAAAGCCUCAAAACUUGAAAUAAUUGACAACAAGUCCUUAGUCCGUGGUGUUACCAUGAAGGACAAGUAUGGAGAUUGCACAACCC